rnacentral:piRNA from 1 species
UAAACUGUGCCUGUGUAAUCAAGUUCUGUU